AUGUUCCUCAGCAAGUCUCCGCACCAGGACGUUUACCUCUGGCUGUCGCACAACAACCUCACUGGGCCCAUCCCGGCAGACUUCGGCGCCGUGAAUUUCACGCACCUCGACCUGUCGCGCAACGACCUGACCGGCGACGCGUCGGGCCUCUUCGGCCGCGGGAAGGAGCUGCAGUACAUCGACCUGUCCCGCAACACCUUCUAUUUCGACCUCUCAGGCGUGGUGCUCCCGGAGCGGCUCUACUUCGUCGAUGUGAGCCACAAUGCCAUCCAAGGCAGCAUCCCGGCGCAGGUCGCGAGCAUGUCCAACCUGAACUUCUUCAACGUCAGCUACAACAGGCUCUGCGGCCCUGUGCCCGCCGGCGGUAACAUGGCGAGGUUCGAUCUCUACAACUUUCAGCACAACAAGUGCCUCUGUGGUGCUCCCCUCCCUUCAUGCAAGAAAUAG
rnacentral:rRNA from 1 species